UCCGUGCUGGUGCAAUGGUUAGCAUUCACGCCUAUCACUCAGGAGGCCCAGGUUCGAUUCCUGCUGCCGUCAAGUACGGA